UACAGAGGGUGCAAGCGUUGCUCGGAAUUAUUGGGCGUAAAGGGCAGGUAGGUGGUCUCGUUUGUCUGGGGUGAAAUCCUUGAGCUUAACUCAAGAAGUGCCUCAGAAACGGCGAGACUAGAGUUCUGGAGAGGGUCGUGGAAUUCCCGGUGUAGCGGUGAAAUGCGUAGAGAUCGGGAGGAACACCAGAGGCGAAGGCGGCGACCUGGACAGAUACUGACACUAAACUACGAAAGCGUGGGGAGCAAACAGG
rnacentral:rRNA from 1 species